rnacentral:lncRNA from 1 species
GGGUAAUUAAAUCUUGUGCUUCAGGUCUUAUAAACUGAUCUGGGGGGGCAAGAAUUAAUUUAAUUCCAUGCACAACCCCACCCAGUCCCUCCAACAGCUUUGCAUAAUGGACUGAGAGCCUGACAGGGAAGUCAGGGAAAGUAGAAAGAUGCAUUUAAGCGCCAGGUAUUAACCGCCAUGCGUAUCUCGAGCUUGAGCUUGCACUUGAUGGAGCUUGAGCUUGCACUGGAUGGGUGCGGGGCUGAUCCAACGUGGCAGAGCCAGAGCUCCUUACAGCUUCUCUCUGUACUUGGUUUAUUACACACAAUCUGUACAGGAGCUGUUUUCACACUUAAUGGCAACCCUGAAUCACUAUCUAUUUCCCAUCUUCCCCGGCAAAGCAGCAACCCAGAGCGAGGGCCAGGCCAUAAAUACAGGGCCCCAUAAAGCCACCGCCGUGUAGAUUUGCCUUUUUGUGCGUGUGUCUGAUUCACGAGCGCUUUGGCAGGCUUCCAGGCUGGAGAAGAG